AGCCUAUGGUGUGGACAUCUUCUAAGCAAAUCUAUAAAUCGUUCCCAAGCCUCAUAUAAGGAUUCACUAUUAAAUUGUGUGAAUGACGUUAUAUCAUUCCUCAACUU
rfam:Theobroma cacao cultivar Matina 1-6 chromosome 6, whole genome shotgun sequence.